rnacentral:rRNA from 1 species
GCUUGUCUCAAAGAUUAAGCCAUGCAUGUCUAAGUAUAAGUAUUAUACAGCGAAACUGCGAAUGGCUCAUUAAAACAGUUAUGGUUUAUUUGAUAAUCGAAUUUUACAUGGAUAACCGUGGUAAUUCUAGAGCUAAUACAUGCUGGUGUGCCUGACUUUUCGGAAGGGCGGUAUUUAUUAGAUAUUCCAAGUAGGUGAUUCAUAAUAACUUCGCAAAUCUCAGUAAUACUGAGAUAAAUCAUUCAAGUUUCUGCCCUAUCAUGCUCUCGAUGGUAGUGUAUUGGACUACCAUGGCUCUCACGGGUAACGGGGAAUUAGGGUUCGAUUCCGGAGAAGGAGCCUGAGAAACGGCUACUACAUCUAAGGAAGGCAGCAGG